rnacentral:rRNA from 1 species
UACGAAGGGGGCUAGCGUUGCUCGGAAUGACUGGGCGUAAAGGGCGCGUAGGCGGUUUGUACAGUCAGACGUGAAAUUCCUGGGCUUAACCUGGGGGCUGCGUUUGAGACGUGCAGACUUGAGUGAGGAAGAGGGUUGUGGAAUUCCCAGUGUAGAGGUGAAAUUCGUAGAUAUUGGGAAGAACACCGGUGGCGAAGGCGGCAACCUGGUCCUUUACUGACGCUGAGGCGCGAAAGCGUGGGGAGCAAACAGG